AGGUGUAGUGAAUUGAGUGUCAUUGAACAUGGCUGAACAAGUACAUCUGUAACAAACUACGUAGCCUUUGGACAGAUGCCAAGGAGUGCUCAUCUUUGUCAAAGAUCAAACAUGUAUGGAGUACCUAUAUGGGUUGUGGAAGAGAUAUGGAAAUGCUUCUGCUUGUUUACAAGAAAGGUCUCACCAUGGCCAGAAGUAGAAGUGGGAAUUUUCAGAAGAUUAAACAGAAAGAGAGAGAGAGAGCUUGUGUUAAAAUUUGAUAUUGGAGAUGACAUUUUGUUCUGCUUCCUAGCAGUAUCUGCAAAUUACUGAAGCCUCAGAAGAAGUCCCUGCUGCAUUUCUAUAUGCUUGACUUGAAUGACGAAGUGCUUCUCUUCAACCUCCAACUGUGCCGUAUUUCUUUAAAUGCCUAAAGUCAUUUUAUGUGCAACACAAU